AAUCCUGGCUCAGGACGAACGCUGGCGGCGCGCCUAACACAUGCAAGUCGAACGAGCGAGAGAGAGCUUGCUUUCUCAAGCGAGUGGCGAACGGGUGAGUAACGCGUGAGGAACCUGCCUCAAAGAGGGGGACAACAGUUGGAAAAACGACUGCUAAUACCGCAUAAGCCCACGACCCGGCAUCGGGUAGAGGGAAAAGGAGCAAUCCGCUUUGAGAUGGCCUCGCGUCCGAUUAGCUAGUUGGUGAGG
rnacentral:rRNA from 1 species